UACGUAGGGUCCGAGCGUUGUCCGGAAUUACUGGGCGUAAAGCGCGCGCAGGCGGCCCGCGAGGUGUCACGUGAAAGCCCCGGGCUCAACCCGGGAGGGUCGUGGCAAACCGGCGGGUUUGAGGCCGGUAGAGGUGGGUGGAACUCCUGGUGGAGUGGUGAAAUGCGUAGAGAUCAGGAAGAACACCCGUGGCGAAGGCGGCCCACUGGGCCGGUACUGACGCUGAGGCGCGAAGGCGUGGGGAGCGAACGGG
rnacentral:rRNA from 1 species